rnacentral:rRNA from 1 species
ACGGAGGGUGCAAGCGUUAUCCGGAAUCACUGGGUUUAAAGGGUGCGUAGGCGGGUAAAUAAGUCAGAGGUGAAAGCUCACAGCUUAACUGUGGAAUUGCCUUUGAUACUGUUUAUCUUGAAUAGUGUUGAGGUUAGCGGAAUGAGUCAUGUAGCGGUGAAAUGCAUAGAUAUGACUUAGAACACCAAUUGCGAAGGCAGCUAGCUAGGCAUUUAUUGACGCUGAGGCACGAAAGCGUGGGGAGCGAACAGG